AUGCCCUGCCAACCUGGCAUGCGCACUUCUCCACUAAGUCAAAUUGGAAGGGGCAGCAGAGUGUGGAUUAUACUCAAGCAGGUAAGAGAAGAGGAGGAAGUCCAUCCUGCAAGUGGCCAGACAGUGCCCGUGUGGCAACUAUGGAACCUGUUUUUAGCCCCAAGAAAAUCCUGGAGGUGCUUCUCAGAAGUGGAUGUGUCUAAUGUCUCUGCUACGCUGAUCAGUGGAAGAUUCUUUGAAACUCAGUGGGGAGAAAAAAGGAGAAGCAUCCUGGUUUAUUUCAUCAGAAAGAGGAAAUGGCAAGGAACAAGGACCGUCUUGAUAGCUGAUUCCUGUAUCACUCUCUGGGAGAUUCCCAAGACCCUAGCAGGUAUACUCUUCCUUUUCUUCUGACACCCCCUGAAUUCCUCCUCUCCAACUUCAGAGUAUUCUCAUCCCUCCCCCAAUGAAGUUCUUUCUAAGACUGAAGGCCUCUCUUGGGGAUCUUGAUACAUGAAUACCAAGACCGUAAAAAUCAUAGUAAGGUAACUCCCAUGUCUCAGUAGGGGAGGGUAGUUUGCUGAGUUAAGGAAGCAAUCAUAACAGUAGAGAAGGCUACAUUCCUUAUCUACUUCCCCAAUCACCGUAGAGGCAUACUCCAAGGUUCCCCACAUUUUCUUAUGAACAUGAAAUUAGUUGGCAAGGUUAGCUGACUUCUCCUUAGUGGGAAGUUUUGCUUAUGCUGACUUCUCCUUAGUGGGAAGUGGUUGCCCAUAUAGCAUCAUUGGUCUUCUUCACAGGAACUUGCAGUCGUGUAGCUUGUCAUAGAAAUGUAUAGAGGAUCUUUUCUGUCUCUCAUGCAUUGGGAUAAUUGGAAAAGGAGAUGUGGUGCUGAUUGAUAUAGAAAAUCAGAACCAACCACAUAGGCUUUCCCCCGGCAUGGGAGCUUACACUGCCAAAGCUUCAUCGUGCCUUCUCUGAACAUGGAGCCAUUACCUCUUGCACUCAAAGCCCUGUGCAGCUACAGGUACAUACAGUAGGAUGCUCACCUCAUGAAUUUCUAACAGUUAUUCCUUGUUUCAGACCUCAGUCUGAGUUCCUGAUAUAACCUUGAUAAAACCAAAGUCUAACAAGCAAGUAUAUAUAUAGUCUCUAAAACAGGCAUGGGAUUACAGAAAAGCAAAAGGCACCUGCUUUUAGGUCUGACAAGCUAGUCACUCCAUAAAAUUUUUGCACUGCAGUUCCUGCUGUUCUGUAGAAUCUUUGGGAGGCCUUGCAUUUCAUGUGCAAGCGCUACUGGCAUGGCAUUUGUAGAGCAUUUAAAUAGCCUGUCUCUAUAGAAUUAGCUAGACAGCCAGCAUUGGAGAAGCUGGGAGAUAAUUAUGUCUCCCAUAAAAUGAAGAUUCUGUUCUAAGGCGGGAAUGUGGCCAAGAUGCCAGGUGUAUUUUUUCUUUUUCUUCAUAUCUUGGCCAUCUCAUGCCAAGACACAUUCCAAGCCACCCUUUUGCUCCUGCUUCUUUCUGUCAUGAAGCGACUUUAUUCUCUCAGAGCUCACUAGUAACAUUAACACCAAAAAGAUACAGAUUCCAUGUUCCCCCAAGAUUUUAUGUGAGAUACACUUUGGGGCUCAUGUGUAACCCCUUUGAAAAGAAAUUUGUGAUACAGAAUGAUCUUGUUAUCUGCUUUUCUUUUUUGUUUAGCUCAAUAUUAUCAAAUUAACAGGUAGAUCCAAGCUUCCUAGUUUAAAUUUGUGCCAAAUUGAGUCAAAGUUAACGUUUUUGAAAGGGUUACCUAAUUAAAUCUCAAAUGGCUCUUGCUAAUGCUCAGCGCUGUUUCUGAUUCCAGCUACCCUGUCAAUCUCUGAGAAGUGAAAGUACUAGUGACUAGAAAAAGUAAGAGAAAAGAAGAUGAGGAAAAGAGAAUUAGGAGAUAGAUUAAAUUCAUGCCCUUUCUAUGCUGUGUUUAAUAUAGCAAGUGUUUUACAUCAGUCCCCCAAAAGAAAGGCAGUAUUUUGAAGAAAAUAGUCUGGCUACCCUCAAUUCUAUCUCCAGAUACUGUAGCUAUCACAGAGGGCUGCCAUGCACAGUUCAGCUGAGCACUUCACAGCUCUAAGGAGCAUCAUUCUUUACAUAAUCUGUGUGUGUAGACCUGACCACCAACACUUCUUCUGUGGCACUGAACUUCCUUGGCUCCCCGUCUUCCCUCCAUAGCUGUGGCCUGUACUCAGCCCUCCAAUCAGGCCAAUGCAUAGACACUUUGCAUCCUAGUCUGCUGCAGUUGGCUUCCUGAGGGUCUGGCCACACACGCCACUAUUCUAGUAGGUCUACCCAAUUCGAAAGACAGAGACUUGGAUUUCUGCUUUGCUCCUAGCAAUGCCUACUGACUUCCCCGAUGCACCUGCUUCUUGCGUCACCAUUACAGGUGCUUACAUUUUGUUUCCAGUUCUGCCUCUAUGCCUAGACCCCAGGUUUUCCUGUUUGCCUAGAUCCGUUUUGUCCCAGGUAUAUCUGGAAGCAAGGAGGGAGUUCCUGGAAUUCUCCCUCAUUUAGAAGGUAGUUGGAGCGGGGAGAGGAAAGAAGAAAGGAAUAACAAAGUUAUCUAAAGACCCAAGCCUGUCCCAUUUUGGUUCGCCUUGUCAAGUACUGGUUCCGACCCUUAUUAUUAUUUAUUAUAGCAUCUGCAGACUGCUACAGAAUCUUUAUAUUGAGCUUAAUGUGUUUUGAAAUGGUUCUUUCAUUAAACUCCAUUACAUCUUCCUCUGAGAAGAACUUAAGAAAGCUCGUUUCAGUUACCACGGAAGAGAUAGCAAGUGCCACUGGUCUCAUUACAGGUGCACCUCAGAGAUAUUGCGGGUUCAGUUCCAACCAACACAGUAAAGCAAAUAUCACACUAAAGUGAGCCAUGUGAAUCUUUUCGUUUCUCAGUGCAUAUAAAACUUCAUUUACACUAUGUUGUAGUCUAUUAAGUGUGCAAAGCAUUAUGUCUAAAAACAAGGAACAUACCUUAAUUUAAAAAUACCUUAUUGCUAAGAAAUGAUAAUGAUCAUCUGAAUCUUCAGCGAGUCACAAUCUUUUUCCUGGUAGAGGAUCUUGCCUCAAGGUGGAUUGCAGCUGACCAGUCAGGGUGGUGGUUGCUGAAGGUUGGGGAGGCUGUCGCAAUUUCUUAAAAUAAGACCAUGGUAAAGUUUGCUGUGUCUGUUGACUCUUCCUUUCAUGAAAGAUUUCUCUGUAGCAUGUGACAUUGUUUGAUGGCAUUUAUCCACAGAACUUCUUUCAAAAUUUGAGUCAACCCUCUCAAAUCGGCCACUGUGUUAUCAACUCAGUUUACAUAAUAUUCUAAAUACUUUGUUGUCAUUUUAGCAAUGUUUACAACAUCUUCACCAGGAGUAGAUUCCAUCUCAAGAAACCACUUUCCUUGUUCAUUCAUAAGAAGCAACCGUCGUUCAUUCAAAUUUGAUAAUGAGAUUGUAGCAAUUGUCAUGUCUUCACAGGCUCCUCUUUAAUUUCCCCUUUAUAUUCUUACCACAUCUGCAGUGACUUCCUCCACUGAAGCCUUGAACCUCUCAAAGUCAUCCAUGAGGGUUGGAAUCCACUUCUUCUAAACUCCUGUUAAUGUUGACAUUUUGACUUCUUAUGAGUCAUGAAUGUUCUUAAUGGCAUCUAGAAGGUUGAAUCCUUUCCAGAAGGUUUUCAGUAUACUUUGGUCGCUAGAAGCCUAGAUUUCUUUUUUUUUUUAGUUUCAAGUCUCACUCUAUUGCCCAGGCUAGGGUGCAGUGGCAUGAACAUAGUUCAGUGAAGCCUAGAACUCCUGGGCUCAAACGAUCUUGCCACUGUAGCCUCCCAUGUACCUGGGACUACAGGCAUACACCAUCGCACCCAGCUAAUUAUUAUUAUUAUUGUAGAGACAGGAUCUUGCUAUGUUGAGCAGGC
rnacentral:lncRNA from 1 species